GACGAACGCUGGCGGCGUGCUUAACACAUGCAAGUCGAACGGAAAGGCCCUGCUUUUGUGGGGUGCUCGAGUGGCGAACGGGUGAGUAACACGUGAGUAACCUGCCCUUGACUUUGGGAUAACUUCAGGAAACUGGGGCUAAUACCGGAUAGGAGCUCCUGCUGCAUGGUGGGGGUUGGAGAGUUUCGGCGGUUGGGGCUGGACUCGCGGCUUAUCAGCUUGUUGGUGGGGUAGUGGCUUACCAAGGCUUUGACGGGUAGCCGGCCUGAGAGGGUGACCGGCCACAUUGGGACUGAGAUACGGCCCAGACUCCUACGGGAGGCAGCAGUGGGGAAUAUUGCACAAUGAGCGGAAGCCUGAUGCAGCAACGCCGCGUGCGGGAUGACGGCCUUCGGGUUGUAAACCGCUUUCGCCUGUGACGAAGCGUGAGUGACGGUAAUGGGUAAAGAAGCACCGGCUAACUACGUG
rnacentral:rRNA from 1 species